GCAGUCGAGCGAACUGAUUAGAAGCUUGCUUCUAUGACGUUAGCGGCGGACGGGUGAGUAACACGUGGGCAACCUGCCUGUAAGACUGGGAUAACUUCGGGAAACCGAAGCUAAUACCGGAUAGGAUCUUCUCCUUCAUGGGAGAUGAUUGAAAGAUGGUUUCGGCUAUCACUUACAGAUGGGCCCGCGGUGCAUUAGCUAGUUGGUGAGGUAACGGCUCACCAAGGCAACGAUGCAUAGCCGACCUGAGAGGGUGAUCGGCCACACUGGGACUGAGACACGGCCCAGACUCCUACGGGAGGCAGCAGUAGGGAAUCUUCCGCAAUGGACGAAAGUCUGACGGAGCAACGCCGCGUGAGUGAUGAAGGCUUUCGGGUCGUAAAACUCUGUUGUUAGGGAAAAACAAGUACAAGAGUAACUGCUCGUACCUUGACGGUACCUAACCAGAAAGCCACGGCUAACUACGUGCCACCAGCCGCGGUAAUACGUAGGUGGCAAGCGUUAUCCGGAAUUAUUGGGCGUAAAGCGCGCGCAGGCGGUUUCAUAAGUCUGAUGUGAAAGCCCACGGCUCAACCGUGGAGGGUCAUUGGAAACUGGGGAACUUGAGUGCAAAAGAGAAAAGCGGAAUUCCCCGUGUAGCGGUGAAAUGCGUAGAGAUGUG
rnacentral:rRNA from 1 species